AUCCAGAUGACGAGUCUCAAGUGGGACGAAAUGCGCAUCCUGGAU
rnacentral:hammerhead_ribozyme from 1 species